GAUGAAGAACGCAGCGAAAUGCGAUAAGUAAUGUGAAUUGCAGAAUUCAGUGAAUCAUCGAAUCUUUGAACGCACAUUGCGCCCCCUGGUAUUCCGGGGGGCAUGCCUGUUCGAGCAUCAUUUCACCACUCAAGCCUCGCUUGGUAUUGGGCAACGCGGUCCGCCGCGUGCCUCAAAUCGACCGGCUGGGUCUUCUGUCCCCUAAGCGUUGUGGAAACUAUUCGCUAAAGGGUGUUCGGGAGGCUACGCCGUAAAACAACCCCAUUUCUAAGGUUGACCUCGGAUCAGGUAGGGAUACCCGCUGAACUUAAGCAUAUCAAUAAGCGGAGGA
rnacentral:misc_RNA from 1 species